GAUGAACGCUGGCGGCGUGCUUAACACAUGCAAGUCGAACGGAAAGGCUCCUGCUUGCCGGGGUACUCGAUUGGCGAACGGGGGAGUAACACGUGGGUGAUCUGCCCUUCACUGCGGGAUAAGCCUUGGAAACUCGGGCUAAUACCGGAUAGGAUGAUUGGUUGCAUACCAUUGUGGAGAGUUUUGCGGUAUUGGUUGAGCUCGCAGCUAAUCAGUUGGUUGGUCGGGUAAUGGCCUACCAAGCGGGAGACGGGUCGCCGGCCUGGGAGGGGGGACGGCCACCAUGGGCCUGCGAUACGCACCAGAAUCGUACGGGAGGCAAUAGGCGGAAAUAUUACACAACGGGGGCAAGCCUGAUGCAGCGGCGCUGCGUGGGGGAUGCCGGCCUUCGGGUUGUAAACAACUGUCGCUAGGGACGAAGAGCAAGUGACGGUACCUGGAGAAGAAGCAACGGCUAACUACGUG
rnacentral:rRNA from 1 species